GCUCUUCUCUCUCACUUAGGAUAUAAGGUCCUGUCACUUCUGGAGAUGCCUAUAAGUGAUGCAACUUCUACAGACCAGGCAGAUGUUUACAUCCACAUCACCUUCAUUAAGAAAUGGGACAUCUGUGCUGGUGCAGCACUCCUCAACGCACUGGGAGGCAGCAUGACGACCCUAAAGGGAGAAGACAUCGACUACAGUGAUACACUUCUGAACAAAGGAGGACUCGUGGCCAGUGUCGGUGUGGACCAUAAGGCUGUGCUGGAGAGAUUACCAAACUGGGACCCUGAAAAGCACUGAGAAACACAAAGCCAUUAGUAGACGGGUCACAGUGUGGUAAAGACAACAGAAGUCUGCAUGAUUUCAUUUCCUGGUGACACCAAAACCUCCACACUUCAGAUGGAUCUGAGUCACUGUCCCUUACAGAGACCACAAAGACUGUGUGGCUAACCAGGCUCUGAAUACACACUUCUAGACAUGUGUACAUAGUAAGGAGAAAUGCUCCAUCAUGCAUAAACACACAAACACAUGCUCACAGUGAUUACAAGAGAACUACUACCUGAGUCCCUUCACCUUCAGAAAACAGGAUGAAUCCACUGUGAAGAAAUCUGAGGAGCACAAUGCUGAACUGUACAACAAAAUCAUGGAGUGACCGAUCUCCUCGUCUUUCAUCUUCUUAAAGCCCGACUCCAUCACAAGCUCUUCCAGAGGAAAUACAAGAACAAGGUACACCGUGUUUUUCCAGACAGGCUGAGAGUCAUUGAACAUCUGCCUCGUUUGGUCUCAGCAGCCGGUGUAACAUGGUCUUACAUGCAAAAAAAAAAACAAUAACCCUGUUUACCAGCACCAGUAAAACCACCUCAGUUUACUCCACACCGUCUUCAGGUUUUCAUCUGAAGUGGAUUAGAGAUUCAUGUUUUUAUUAAUUUAACUUUGACAGAUCAAUAAACUGAAUCUUUGUCAUUAUUCAGAUAAAACCAGCUCAAACUAGAACGCUUUCCCAACAACCCAUUUUUACCUGAAAGCAGUGCCUGCUGGGUAAGGAGAUCAACGUGCUCUGACCAAACCAGAAGUUCGUUAGAGGGAAACACAAACAUUGAUCUGCUUACAUUGUCUUAAGUUUAUCCAACUCAAAAAACUACAAUAUGAAGUUCUAAAGAAGUAGUCCAAAGUGUUUGGCAAGAGGUCUGCUUUACUAAAGUACAUUUUUUUCUUAACUAUGUUGCGGCCAUGUGAAGCAAAAUAAAAAGUGUUUCUUCAAAAUUAAUAAAAGUGAAAUGAUUAAAGGGAAGAUGAAGGAAAAGUCCACUUUUUAAAUCUUUCAUCUCUCUUCCCUGAGACUCAUUUUUGUCCCGUUUAAAACUUUUCAGUGUGUGGAGUUGCUGUGAUUGGUGCUUCCCUUACUCUUCUGUUAUAAGAGGUCGUAAACACACAGACAUGAUAACUCCAGGGUGAGCCCAUCACAAUCAGGUGAAGUCAGAAUCAUUCAAAACCCGUCUGUCUGAUGGUGGUUUUCUUCUGUAACGUGUUGUAAAUAUGACGUUCACAGCUGUCACCUCUCUGCUACUGACAGUGCUCAUGGUUAAUGAUGGAGAAAGAGCUAACAUGUUCACUGAUGUGCUCCUGGAUCUGCCAUCUCAUAACUCAUGACUUUAUAACUAAACUCUAAGUCUGCCAAUGUGCAGUACAGGAGAAGGUAAAGAAGUGUGUAUCGUCAGUGUUUCAUCACCAAGAAGACGACAGAAGUUUAAAAGACUUACAGCUUGGAAAGAGUCACAUUGAAGACUGUCUGCAAUGAGAAACUCCCUGAGACUAUUUCUGUGAAUGAAUAUUGUGCCGUGCUUCAUCCAGACUCAUUUAAACUUUGGUACCAGUCACAUUUUGUUGGAGAAGAAGUGUACUUGUAUUUGCAUGGUUUUGAAUAUUCAUUCGUCUUUGCUCCUCUUAACAUUUCUCAAUCUGUGCGGAUGAUAUUCCUCGCUUGAUUAACCUGUUUCUGUCUUUUUAAAGGAACAUUUCCACAGACAACAGCUGUUAUGACUACAGUCUGGGUUUUCUUGUUGAUGUGAAGCCAUGUCUGAUGGUAAAGAAAAAACUACACCAGCAUAAUGUGAGCUCUUGUCCCUGUAUGAAGAAGAUACAGUUAAAGUGUGUUUCAUGUUUGCUUUUGUGUCAUUGAUAAGUGUGUGUAUAGAUAUAUAAAAACCUGUGUGUGUGGUGUCUGGAUGACAUGCUGCUGGUAUACUGAGAGCACAGCUUGACUCAGAGGAAGUACAGGUAACAGCGUUCAGUCUGCUGGAGGUUGGAUCUCUGUGUGCUACAUUUCUGUUUGAUGAUCUGAGUGCCUUUAAUCUGAACAACAUAGUCACAGGAUGGUAGUGUUAGCCACAACACUUAGCAGGGUUUCUGGUGUUGCUAUGGUAACACAGUGAUUGCUAUGCAGGGGUAUAACUGAUGUUUUGUUAUGAUACAUAAAAGAGAACGGGUGGAGGGAAAGAAAACAGCAUUUUAUCACGUAGGUGUCUGUUUAUAGGUCUAAUGCAUGUGUGAAGAAGUUCUAUAAAACGUUUUGUUUCUCAACAGAAAGAUGUGUGAAGUCUCAAACAUUUUCUAUAGCUUGAUGCUAAAUCUGUGAGGUACUUUUUUUAAUAUACAUCGUUGUCAACCGGUGGUGCAAAGAUGGUCGGCCUGACAACAGAUUCAGGUCAGGUUGUUAAAGGGGGCACAAUGUAUUCUUCUCUUCACCCCUGGAGACUGAUGUUUCUGCAAUAAAACCGAAUAAUGAGCAGAGUCAA